UACGUAGGCAGCAAGCGUUGUUCGGAGUUACUGGGCGUAAAGCGCGCGCAGGCGGCUUCCCAAGCGCCACGUGAAAGCCCCGGGCUCAACCCGGGAGGGUCGCGGCGGACUGGGAGGCUUGAGGCCGGUAGAGGUGGGUGGAACUCCUGGUGGAGUGGUGAAAUGCGUAGAGAUCAGGAAGAACACCCGUGGCGAAGGCGGCCCACUGGGCCGGUGCUGACGCUGAGGCGCGAAGGCGUGGGGAGCGAACGGG
rnacentral:rRNA from 1 species